GACGAACGCUGGCGGCGUGCCUAAUACAUGCAAGUCGAGCGGAUGACGGAGGAGCUUGCUCCUCUAGAUUCAGCGGCGGACGGGUGAGUAACACGUGGGCAACCUGCCCUGUAGAUUGGGAUAACUCCGGGAAACCGGGGCUAAUACCGAAUAAUCCUUCGGACCUCAUGGUCCGAUGUUGAAAGACGGUUUCGGCUGUCACUACAGGAUGGGCCCGCGGCGCAUUAGCUAGUUGGUGAGGUAACGGCUCACCAAGGCCACGAUGCGUAGCCGACCUGAUAGGGUGAUCGGCCGCACUGGGACUGAGACACGGCCCAGACUCCGACGGGAGGCAGCAGUAGGGAAUCUUCCACAAUGGACGAAAGUCUGAUGGAGCAACGCCGCGUGAGUGAAGAAGGUUCUCGGAUCGUAAAACUCUGUUGUGGGGGAAGAACAAGUACCGGAGUAACUGCCGGUGCCUUGACGGUACCUCAUUAGAAAGCCACGGCUAACUACGUGCCAGCCGCCGCCGUAAAAC
rnacentral:rRNA from 1 species